GGGUGCACUGUGCAUGUGUAUGUGAAUCAAAAAAAAAAAAUAACAGCACUGCGGACAAGGAAGGAAAGACAGAGUAUACAAAACACAAAGACAGAAUAACAAAAUUUUGUUCAAAUUCGGGAAGCGAACGGAUUUUGUGUAAAAAUAGAGUUUUUAAAGAAUUUAUUGCCCAGAAUUCGAUUUUUUUUGGCAUAAAGUCUAAAAUGGUUUCUCCGCACUGGCGUCACCAACGCUUUCAUACAGCGAGAGAGACAUAUUAUAGAAAAGAAAUAACUAUUUGAGAAGAUUGGUGGUGUUGGAAGAGGUUGGAGAUGGAUAAAUACUUGAGAAACACUUUAACAACUGUGGAUAACACGACUCCAAAAUUGGAUCACUUAAAACGUGCAGGUCCCGAAUAUCUGGAGGCUGAAAAGUUCCUUUCACUAGUUUUGAAGUUUUUUGGAAUUGAAGUCGCAGGAGAAGUUACGUUGACAAUGUAUCCAUUACUACUGAUUGUUGGACCUCGCGUGCUAAUGAGGCGUAUCUCACUCACUUCAUUAACGAAUGCUAUAAACUUAAGUCAGCAGUUUUGUCGACGCAAAAACUUGUAGAUGCAACUAACCACUGCGCUAGUAAUAUUGCGAACUCACUCAGCGCCGUUUUGAAUGAGUGGAACCUGUUAAAUAAGGUAGUAUCGAUUGUAACAGACAACGACGCGUCUAUGAAAGAAGCGUGCGAAUUAAUGAUGACAUAAAUUAAACAUUUACAUUGUGUCUUGCAUACUAUUAAUGUAUUAGUGCAAGAGUUCCUGAAAAUAGAUUCUAUAGUGCCCUUACUAGCAAGGUGUAAGAGAAUCGUAUCGUUUUUCAAAUCGAGUUCAAUCGCAACAAAGAAACUUAAAAAUGCAAAAAUUUCUGAAUCACGCUAUGGACUUGUACAAGAAGUUCCAACGCGUUGAAAUAGCGCGUACUAUAUGAUUCAACGGAUUAUUUUAGUAAAUGACUCGAUUUCUGCAGUGCUUCUAAACUCAACCAAAGCUCCAAGUCCAAUAUCAGCGGACGAAAUGAUCGUUCUGGAUGAGAUAUGUCAAGUUCUAGCUCCGUUUCACAGACUGCGUUUGAACGAUUGCCAGAGCGUUUCUCGCAUUACGAAACUCGGACUGUUACUAGAAUUGCUACAUUACUGGAUCCCAGAUUUAAAAAGGACGGUUUUUUGUUUUCAUCGAACUCAGAGCAAGCCGCGAAAGCUUUGCAGUUAGAGUUAUUUUCAAGUUUUUCCCGAGUUCCUUCCACACGUGAUAUUUCAACACCACCAGACACUCCACAAGAAAAAAAAAAAACAGUUUCUUUACUUUUUUAGGAACGAAAAUUUCAAAUAAAGUUCACUCGGAACUCAAUAAUGCUAUUGAGGGCGUAUUUUGCGAGACCUAAUGAGCCGGAGGAUAAGGAUCCCCUUGCUUAUUGGAUGGAAAACAGUGAGAGUCUAAAGCCAAUAACUAAACUUUGUAGAAAUUACCUGUGCAUUCCGGCCAGUUCAACAGAAUCUGAUAGAACCUUCAGUAAAGCUGGUCAGAUUGUAUCUGACCGCAGAGCAUCGCCUAAACCAAAAGUAUACAUGCUACUUUUUGUGAACAAAAACCAGAAACAAUGAUCUCUUGUUGUCUUAUUGUGAAUAUAAAAAAACAUUAUUUUGUUAUUACUAAAUA